rnacentral:rRNA from 1 species
AGUCGACGGCAGCCGGGGGCAACCCUGGUGGCGAGUGGCGAACGGGUGAGUAAUACAUCGGAACGUGUCCUAGAGUGGGGGAUAGCCCGGCGAAAGCCGGAUUAAUACCGCAUACGCUCGAGAGAGGAAAGCGGGGGAUCUUCGGACCUCGCGCUCAAGGGGCGGCCGAUGGCGGAUUAGCUAGUUGGUAGGGUAAAGGCCUACCAAGGCGACGAUCCGUAGCUGGUCUGAGAGGACGACCAGCCACACUGGGACUGAGACACGGCCCAGACUCCUACGGGAGGCAGCAGUGGGGAAUUUUGGACAAUGGGGGCAACCCUGAUCCAGCAAUGCCGCGUGUGUGAAGAAGGCCUUCGGGUUGUAAAGCACUUUUGUCCGGAAAGAAAUCCUCUGCCCUAAUACGGCGGGGGGAUGACGGUAC